ACUUUAAUUGAAGAGUUUGAUCAUGGCUCAGAUUGAACGCUGGCGGCAGGCCUAACACAUGCAAGUCGAGCGGUAACAGAAAAGAAGCUUGCUUCUUUUGCUGACGAGCGGCGGACGGGUGAGUAAUGCCUGGGAAUAUACC
rnacentral:rRNA from 2 species